AAUUAGUUUUUUAAUUGGAAAAUAGCAUGAAUGAUUUUAUUAAUUAAUACUUUUUAAUAAUUUAUAUUAAAUUUUUAUUUUUAGUGAAAAUACUAAAAAAAWUUUUUAGACAAAAAGACCCUAUGAAACUAUAAUUUUAAAUAAAUAUAAUAUUUUUUAAUAAAUUAUUUUUUGGGGAAAAAAUUAAUARCAAUAUUUAUACAAUAAUUAAUUUAUUUGAUCCUCUAGGAAAAAAGAAAUAGUUCCUCUAGGGAUAACAGCAUAAUAUUUAGUAAAGUACAUAUUUAACUAAAUGU
rnacentral:rRNA from 1 species